CAGAAAGCAUUACUUCUCAAUUCGGCGUAUUUUUUACGUAUAAAUAUUUUGAAGGUUGCCGGAACAUGGACGGUGCUGCCAGCGAACGGCGAAAAAGAGCAACUUGGGUUUCAGGUCAGGGCUCCCAGGGAUUGGUCAACCCUUACCACGUGAGAGCUAAUUUUGUAGAGAACGAAGCUGGCGCACAUUAUCUUACAGCUAAACACUAUUUUAAAAAUGACGCUCACUUCCAUAGCUUUUACGUUAAUAAAGCAUUCAGCUACUUCGCCGCUACGAGCUACGAGCUACGAUCCGCCGCGCCAUCUGCAGAGUCGUCUGUGUUAUCGCGUUUAUUGUUUACGUCGUGGGCGGUCGUGUUGGUCGCGCGAAGAGAAGUGAAUGACAUGUUCGUGGUUGUUGUGUCAAUUAUUCGAGAAACCUACAUAUGAGUGGUGUGGUUUUUGUGUUUGGGGAUGCAAAAAUCAUGUUCGUUCACCAUCGGCGGCAGGCGUUUCUACCACAAGAUUCAACAGGAGAGUGCGCGAAAACGAAUGUGGUUCAAAGCACUCGGUUAUUAGAUGUAGCAGUCGUGUGGUAUGUGCUGAGCUCAUUUUGCUGCCGAUGACUACGAAGAUGCCGUAGAAGGCGAAUUGCGAAGACGUCCGAAGCACACUGAUGCUCAGUAUCCAGUGAUUUUGCUUCACCGAGGUGACGAGUUCAACACAACGUCUUAGGGGCCUUCCAGUGUUGAAGUGGCGCAAGACUGCUUCGUAUGUGUGAUCCAGGCACUCAAGUUGACAUGACAGAAAUAACCGAAAGCAGUCUUUGGACAGGUGCAGAACAUUAGUAUGACGUCAACAAGAGGAGAAGAAACCGAUGAGAACUACUAGCUUGUUUGAAGGGUACGAGAAUAGUUCCUGUUGAGAUGGAGUUAUGACUUUAUGACUAAGGAACACUAAUUAAUUUUCUAGAGAUGCAUCCUCUACACUUGAAUACCCAGUGCAACAGCAAACGUUCAUUGUCUUUGAAGCCGUAACUACUGGAAUUGUUCAAUGUGUGUCAGAGCUGCAGUGAGCCAUGCAAGGUUACCACAUCAUAUUGGUCCCAAAAUUUGCAGAGUUCCCCUAUCUCGGACGCAACUGUCAUUUCUC